CAAGUUUGUUUUAGCAACCGUCACUUAAACAGCUUCUAAAAUAUUUCGGCAACAAAAUUCAAAAUUAUAAGUGAAAUUAUUCAAGAAAAAACUCUAAAACAUUUAAAUAAUUAUGUCUUGUUGUCCUCCCGCUUGUUGUCCUCCCGCUUGUCCUCCCGCUUGUCCUCCCAAGCGCCCUCCGGCGUGCUGUGUCCCAACAUGUUGUCCUCCAGUAUGUUGUAGGCCUAGCUGCGCACCUUGCUGCGUUCCAUGUGUGUACGUGCCUUGCUGCCUGCCCUGCCCUAGCCCUUGCCAAAGCCCUUGCCCCUGCCCUAGCCCCUGCCCUAGCCCUUGCCCUUGCCCUCCAAAGUGCUGAUGAAGGUGCAACAACCCAACUGAAAAGCGUGUAAUAAAAAUUGAGGACAUUAUGGCUUGUAUAAUAAUUUUAAUGUUUUCAUAAAAAAUAAGUAUGUGAACUUUCUAAAGUAAUAAAGACAAUGUAUGUUAAAUAUC